UGCCAAUCGAUGUAAAAGGCCGGGUUGC
rnacentral:piRNA from 1 species